rnacentral:rRNA from 1 species
GACGAACGUUGGCGGCGUGCUUAAUACAUGCAAGUCAACUGAAGCACCGGUAGUAAUACUGGUGUGGAGGUGGCGCACGGGUGAGUAACACGUAGGUAAUCUGCCUUCAGGUCUGACAUAACCCCGAGAAAUCGGGGCUAAUAGCAGAUGAUGCAGCGGCUUGACAUCAAGACAGUUGUUAAAGCUUCGGCGCCUGAAGAUGAGCCUGCGUCGAUUAGCUAGUUGGCGGAGUAACAGCCCACCAAGGCUACGAUCAGUAGCUGGUCUGAGAGGAUGAUCAGCCACACUGGAACUGAGACACGGUCCAGACUCCUACGGGAGGCAGCAGUAAGAAUAUUGCUCAAUGGGAGAAAUCCUGAAGCAGCAACGCCGCGUGAGGGAUGAAGGG